CUGACUGACCUGUAUCUAAGAGAGGGGAGGUGUACUAACAACCUGUGGCAAUUACGAAUUAAAUUAUCAGGCGCGAAAAGUACCACGUGAGUGUGAAAUUGUGGAGAAAAAUAAAACGUUAAAUGUGAAAUAAAUCAGUCGGUGGCCUCAUUAUUACGAAAGGAAAAUUAACAAAAACAGAAACGGGCAGCUAUUAGCUUCGGUUUUUUGUUUUGUAUUUUAGCUAGCAGUGUUGGGAUGCUGUCACCAAAAUAACAAACAACCAGCGCAGCAGGGCCAUCAACGACAGAAGAAAACGGACUUUAACAUCAAACACUUCACUGUCUUGGACUGCAGCGGAUGACGUUAGGGCGGCUUUCCAGCUCUCAGCACAUCUCCAGAGAAGAAGAUGAACGACUGCUGCUUCCAGCUGCUGUCCAAGGCAGCUGAGUUGGAGUGCAUCUGAUGGUGGGAUGAGAUGCUCUCUGGGGAAGCAGCUGAUUUUAAGGAUAUGAACAACAACAACAUAGCCAGCGAGGCAGCCAGUAGGGAAAGCACAAGAUGAGAAGGGCCAGAGAAUGGCUUCUUGACAGCCACCCUUCCACUGAGACCAUGUGUGAUGAGUAUUCAGUGAUCAGCAGAUAGUAGAUCCAAUGAAGGUCCAGCUGUAUCUCCAAGGUCCCAUGUCAAGUCAUUGCUGAUUUUUUUUGUCCUGUCCUUUCCCAAGGACAGGGCUUUUAGAUACUGUUCGUCUGUUGUAGAUAGUUUUGCCACUUCUUCCUUUGUCCUCCUUUUGUCCAGCUUCUCCAGUUUUUUAAGGACACACUGCACACCCAACUUUUUGACUAAAAGCUCUUGUUUUAUCUAAGGAAUUGUUCAAUUAUUACUAAAGAAAUGGGAAUAAAUGAAUUCAGUGAAUGGGCUGCUAAUAACAAAGUGCCUAAAAAUACAAUUUAAAAUUGUUUUAUUGUUGAGUUGUCUGCUGUGAGUAGACAGAACACUGGUUCAUCUCUUGAGUUAGGUGCCUUUUUUAUGAAUGAUUCAUUGGUCUGUGUUGGUUUAUCCUGUCUUUCUCC